AAAGAGAAAAACAGAGCCAACAAACGGUUGCCACCACCAUAUGUCCUCAUGCUUCGGAAGAUGGCUCUCAACUACGAGUUUGUCGGAAGCAGCACAAGCCGGCGCUUUCUCACGUCAUCAUAGCCUGACAAACACACAAGCCAACAACUUGCUCGGCACACACUAUCUCAACAUGAGACUUCGGGUCGGCAAUAGUUCGAUGGGUUGGGUUUCUUAUAUGCUCUCCAACAGAGAGUUUGACCAUGGAAUGGCGCCAUGUUUGGUUACAAGAAUCAUAAACAUUUCAGAAAAGAGUAUCGAGCUUGCCAGCUUGGGAACAAUCUGUUUGAUAUAAAAUACUGGAGGUCUCUACCUCCUGACCUAUGGACAUGUCAAUCGAUAGAAAAAUAUCAGUUACUGGAUAUUUUAUCGAAAAAAUGUCUACUAUUAAAAAAAAAACAGAACUAAUGUCUACUCUUUUUAUUUUAUGUAUUUGAUGUUCCGCAGGCUUAGCUAAUUUUGGUUA